CACAUAAUCAGAUAAGAGUUGAGGUUGUUUUUUGGCCAAAUUAUGGAAAAUUUGAAGAGUAGAUGAUACAGUUUGUGAUGUGCAUAAAUAUUCACACAACUGAGCAUGCCUACACCAUAUUUAUGAACUUGUUUUACAAGGCGUAUUUUCUGAAACCAAAUUAUGUCCUUCAACGGGAUCAGAAAUAUUAUUAUUCAAGAGGUUUCAACAAGAAUGGGAAACAAUUGAUAAAACAAUUUUUUGCAGACCGUCCAAGAUUACCAAAAAAAAUAUCCAAAAUGUGUUAGAGAAACAUUAAAAAAAAAAUAUUAAGACACAAAUACUAGUUCCAUGUAGAUAAAUGUGCUGUGAAUUUUGUAAUAAUUAUGUGUUGAUAGAAUCGAUUAUACAUUUUUUUUUAUUUAAUCGUAAUCAAUAUUCAUGAAACUAUUAUAGUUAUUUUAUACAAUUUUUUUUUUAAUAUUACUUUUAUAAAAAAAGAUUACAUGAAAAUUUAGUGAAAUUUAUUGUAUAAAAAAUAGAACUUUUUCAACUUAACUUUUGAAAAUGUUCCAGAAAUAAUGCGUCCUUUAUACAUAUAU